rnacentral:antisense_RNA from 1 species
CCACCGCCUAUCCCAAAACCUAUAAGAACCAAUGAUAAUCCCACCACCCUUUGAUGACUCUCUUUUUGGACUCAGCCCGCCUGCACCCAGGUGAAAUAAACAGCCUUGUUGCUCACACAAAGCCUGUUUGGUGGUCUCUUGACACGGACGCAUGAGACAUUUGGUGCCGAAGACCCGGGUCAGCGGGACUCCUUCGGGACAGCAGUCCCCUGUCCUCACCUUCACUCCCUGAAGAGAUCCACCUACAACCUCAGGUCCACAGACCAACCAGCCCAAGGAACAUCUCACUGAUUUUAAAUCGGACUCUCUUCACACGGGUGAGUGUGACAUUUGGUGCCGAAGACCUAGGACAGGAGGACUCCUUUGGGAGACCGGUCUCCUGUCCUCGCCCUCACUCCGUGAGGAGAUCCACCUGCAACCUCAGGUCCUCAGACCAACCAGCCGAAGGAACAUCUCACCAAUUUCAAAUGGGCUUAGCGGCUGAAGACUGAUGCUGCCUGGUCGCCUCGGAAGCCCCCUGGACCAUCAUGGACGCCGAGCUUCGGGUAACUCUCACAGUGGAGGCCUGUUUGGUGACUUUCUUCGCACCGACGUGCGUGACACAAUAUUUGCAGAAUAUGAAGGUGGCUGUCACGUGGUCUGGGCUUCCUGGAGGUUUGAGCUGGGAGCUGAAGCCCCGUAGGAGUUCUGUAAGUCAAAAGGGAAGAGAAGAGCAUUCCACGUAGAGAAAAGAAUCUGUGCUCCAGGCGCGGUGGCUCACUAUUGUAAUCCCAGCACUUGGUGUCAGGCCUCUGAGCCCAAGCUAAGCCAUUAUAUCCCCCGUGACCUGCAUGUAUACAUCCAGAUGGCCUGAAGCAGCUGAAGAACCACAAGAGAAGUGAAAACAGCCAGUUCCUGCCUUAACUGAUGUCAUUCCACCAUUGUAAUUUGUUCCUGUCCCACCUUUACUGAUGAAUUAACUUUGUGACAUUUCUUCUCCUGGACAAUGAGUCUCAUGAUCUCCCUACCCAGCACCUUGUGACCCCUGCCCCUGCCCGCAAGAGAUAACCAUCUUUAACUGUAACUUUCCACUACCUACCUAAAUCCUGUAAAACUGACCCACCCCCUAUCUCCCUUUGCUGACUCCUUUUUCGGACUCAGCCUGCCUGCACCCAGGUGAUUAAAAAGCUUUAUUGUUCACAUGAA